rnacentral:tRNA from 2 species
GGUCUAUUAGUCUAGUUGGUUAGGACGUCGGAUUCUGAUUCUCUCAAGACUCGGAUCUUCCGUAAGCCCAGGUUCGAAUCCUGGAUGGACCU